CAGAGGUCCCAAGCGUUGUUCGGAUUCACUGGGCGUAAAGGGUGCGUAGGCGGUCGGGUAAGUCUGAUGUGAAAUCUCAGAGCUCAACUCUGAAACUGCAUUGGAUACUAUUCGGCUUGAGGUCUGAGGGGGGGACUGGAAUUCUCGGUGUAGCAGUGAAAUGCGUAGAUAUCGAGAGGAACACCAGUGGCGAAGGCGAGUCCCUGGACAGAUCCUGACGCUGAGGCACGAAAGCUAGGGGAGCAAACAGGAUUAGAUACCCUGGUAGUCCUAGCCGUAAACGGUGUGUAUUUGCUGUAAAAGGAAUCGACCCCUUUUGUGGCGUAGCAAACGCGUUAAAUACACCGCCUGGGAAGUACGGUCGCAAGAUUA
rnacentral:rRNA from 1 species